rnacentral:rRNA from 1 species
GACGAACGCUGGCGGCGUGCCUAACACAUGCAAGUCGAGCGAAUGAAGUUCCUUCGGGUACGUAUUUAGCGGCGGACGGGUGCGUAACACGUGGGCAACCUGCCUCAUAGAGGGGAAUAGCCUUGCGAAAGGGAGAUUAAUACCGCAUAAGAUUGUAGUACCGCAUGGUACAGCAAUUAAAGGAGCAAUCCGCUAUGAGAUGGGCCCGUGGCGUACGAGCUAGUUGGUGAGGUAAGGGCUCACCAAGGCGACGAUGCGGAGCCGACCUGAGAAGGUGAUCGGCCACAUUGGGACUGAGACACGGCCCAGACUCGUACGGGAGGCAGCAGUGGGGAAUAUUGCACAAUGGGGGAAACCCUGAUGCAGCAACGCCGCGUGUGUGAUGACGGCCUUCGGGUUGUAAAGCUCUGACUUCAGGGACGAUAAUGACGGUACCUGAGGAGGAAGCCACGGCUAACUACGUGCCAGCCGCCGCGGUAACAC